rnacentral:rRNA from 1 species
CCGUCCAAUACUGCGGAGCUCGAGGGCAGAAGAGGGGGGUGGAAUUGCUGGUGUAGUGGUGAAAUGCGUAGAUAUCAGCAGGAACACCUGUGGCGAAAGCGGCCCCCUGGUCUGCUCCUGACACUCAGACGCGAAAGCUAGGGGAGUGAACGGGAUUAGAAACCCCGGUAAUCCUAGCCGUAAACGAUGGAUGCUAGGUGUGGGUGGUAUUGACCCCAUCCGUGCCGAAGCCAACGCGUUAAGCAUCCCGCCUGGGGACUACGGCCGCAAGGUUAAAACUCAAAGGAAUUGACGGGGACCCGCACAAGCAGCGGAGCGUGUGGUUUAAUUCGAUGCUACACGAAGAACCUUACCCAGGUUUGACAUGCAGGUAGUAGUGAAGCGAAAGCGGAACGAUCCUUCGGGAAGCCUGCACAGGUGCUGCAUGGCUGUCGUCACCUCGUGCCGUGAGGUGUUUGGUUAACUCCACUAACGAGCGCAACCCCUGUCGUCAGUUACAUGUGUCUGGCGAGACUGCCGGUCUUAAACCGGAGGAAGGUGGGGAUGACGUCAAGUCAGCAUGGCCUUUAUAUCUGGG